GAGGAUGAACGCUAGCGGCAGGCUUAACACAUGCAAGUCGAGGGGUAUUGGUUUUCGGACCAAGAGACCGGCGGCACGGGUGCGUAACGCGUAUGCAAUCUACCUUUGCAGAGGGAUAGCCCAGAGAAAUUUGGAUUAAUACCUCAUAGUAUAGUACUUUGGCAUCAAGGAACUAUUAAAGUCACAACGGCAAAAGAUGAGCAUGCGUCCCAUUAGCUAGUUGGUAAGGUAACGGCUUACCAAGGCUACGAUGGGUAGGGGGUCCUGAGAGGGAGAUCCCCCACACUGGUACUGAGACACGGACCAGACUCCUACGGGAGGCAGCAGUGAGGAAUAUUGGACAAUGGGCGCAAGCCUGAUCCAGCCAUGCCGCGUGCAGGAUGACGGUCCUAUGGAUUGUAAACUGCUUUUAUACAGGAAGAAACACUCCGACGUGUCGGAGCUUGACGGUACUGUAAGAAUAAGGAUCGGCUAACUCCGUG
rnacentral:rRNA from 1 species